rnacentral:tRNA from 1 species
GCUUUCGUGGUGUAAUGGUCAGCACACUCGACGCGAAAGCGAGAAGUUCGUGGUUCGAUUCCCGGCGAAGGCG